AGUAGAAACAGGACAACAAUAAUUGGAAAUGACAGAAAAGCAGAUUUCAGCUCAGAACCUUCAUAAUAACUGGAAGUGUCUACCAAAGCCGAUGAGACAAGAAAUGGGAAUAUGAGACUCUGUUGAGAAUCAGAAGCAAAACCAAUAUGAGGAACUAAUUCAGUCUGCUGGACUUGGGCCCUUACUUAUGUGGAACUCUGUGCCCUGAACAUUCUAAGUACACAGGGAGACUCCAGCAUGCUGUGAGACCUGGCACCUGAAUUCUUUUUCACCCAUACU